rnacentral:tRNA from 1 species
GCGGGCGUGGUUCAACGGUAGAAUAGCGGCUUCCCAAGCCGCGGACGUGGGUUCGACUCCCAUCGCCCGCUCCA